rnacentral:rRNA from 1 species
GAUGAACGCUAGCGACAGGCUUAACACAUGCAAGUCGAGGGGCAACAUGAUUUUAGCUUGCUAAAAUUGAUGGCGACCGGCGCACGGGUGAGUAACGCGUAUGUAACUUGCCUACCAGAGGGGGAUAGCCCGGCGAAAGUCGGAUUAAUACCGCAUAAAACAGGGGUUCCGCAUGGAAAUAUUUGUUAAAGGAUUACCGCUGGUAGAUAGGCAUGCGUUCCAUUAGAUAGUUGGUGGGGUAACGGCUCACCAAGUCGACGAUGGAUAGGGGUUCUGAGAGGAAGGUCCCCCACAUUGGUACUGAGACACGGUCCAGACUCCUACGGGAGGCAGCAGUGAGGAAUAUUGGUCAAUGGAGGCAACUCUGAACCAGCCAAGUAGCGUGAAGGAUUACUGCCCUACGGGUUUUAAACUUCUUUUAUGCGAGAGUAAUGUGCGCUACGUGUAGCGUAUUGCAAGUAUCGCAUGAAUAAGCAUCGGCUAACUCCGUG